rnacentral:rRNA from 1 species
UACGAAGGGGGCUAGCGUUGUUCGGAAUUACUGGGCGUAAAGGGCGCGUAGGCGGUCCUGAUCGUCGGAUGUGAAAGGCCUGGGCUCAACCUGGGAACUGCAUCCGAUACGGCGGGACUGGAGUGUGGGAGAGGUUGGUGGAAUUCCCAGUGUAGAGGUGAAAUUCGUAGAUAUUGGGAAGAACACCGAUGGCGAAGGCAGCCUUCUGGGCCAACACUGACGCUCAUGCACGAAAGCGUGGGGAGCAAACAGG